UGGGGAAUAUUGCACAAUGGGCGAAAGCCUGAUGCAGCAACGCCGCGUGAGUGAUGAAGGUCUUCGGAUUGUAAAGCUCUGUCUUUUGGGACGAUAAUGACGGUACCAAAGGAGGAAGCCACGGCUAACUACGUGCCAGCAGCCGCGGUAAUACGUAGGUGGCGAGCGUUGUCCGGAUUUACUGGGCGUAAAGGGUGCGUAGGCGGAUGUUUAAGUGAGAUGUGAAAUACCCGGGCUUAACUUGGGUGCUGCAUUUCAAACUGGAUAUCUAGAGUGCAGGAGAGGAGAAUGGAAUUCCUAGUGUAGCGGUGAAAUGCGUAGAGAUUNGGG
rnacentral:rRNA from 1 species